rnacentral:sRNA from 1 species
UGAUCCCGGAAUGUAUGAUAAAAAUUGGCUAUUUGCCUAAUUUUCUCCACGUAUGUGGAGG